rnacentral:rRNA from 1 species
GUGCCAGCCGCCGCGGUAAUACGGGGGGGGCAAGCGUUGUUCGGAAUUACUGGGCGUAAAGGGCUCGUAGGCGGCCAACUAAGUCAGACGUGAAAUCCCUCGGCUUAACCGGGGAACGGCCUCUGAUACUGGCUGGCUGGAGUUCGGGAGAGGGAUGCGGAAUUCCAGGUGUAGCGGUGAAAUGCGUAGAUAUCUGGAGGAACACCGGUGGCGAAGGCGGCAUCCUGGACCGACACUGACGCUGAGGAGCGAAAGCCAGGGGAGCAAACGGGAUUAGAAACCCGAGUAGUCC